AAUGAACGCUGGCGGCAGGCCUAACACAUGCAAGUCGAACGGGUCCUUCGGGACUAGUGGCGGACGGGUGAGUAACGCGUGGGAACAUGCCCUUUGGUACGGAAUAGCCUCGGGAAACUGGGAGUAAUACCGUAUGUGGUCGAGAGACGAAAGAUUUAUCGCCAAAGGAUUGGCCCGCGUUGGAUUAGGUAGUUGGUGGGGUAAUGGCCUACCAAGCCGACGAUACAUAGCUGGUUUGAGAGGAUGAUCAGCCACACUGGGACUGAGACACGGCCCAGACUCCUACGGGAGGCAGCAGUGGGGAAUCUUAGACAAUGGGGGAAACCCUGAUCUAGCCAUGCCGCGUGAUCGAUGAAGGCCUUAGGGUUGUAAAGAUCUUUCAGGUGGGAAGAUAAUGACUGUACCACCAGAAGGAGCCCCGGCUAACUCCGUGCCAGCCGCCGCCGUAACAC
rnacentral:rRNA from 1 species